rnacentral:rRNA from 1 species
UACGUAGGGCGCAAGCGUUGUCCGGAAUUAUUGGGCGUAAAGAGCUCGUAGGCGGCUUGUCACGUCGGGUGUGAAAGCCCGGGGCUUAACCCCGGGUCUGCAUUCGAUACGGGCUGGCUAGAGUGUGGUAGGGGGGAUCGGAAUUCCUGGUGUAGCGGUGAAAUGCGCAGAUAUCAGGAGGAACACCGGUGGCGAAGGCGGAUCUCUGGGCCAUUACUGACGCUGAGGAGCGAAAGCGUGGGGAGCGAACAGG